rnacentral:rRNA from 1 species
AUUGAACGCUGGCGGCAGGCCUAACACAUGCAAGUCGAGCGGAUGAAGGGAGCUUGCUCCUGGAUUCAGCGGCGGACGGGUGAGUAAUGCCUAGGAAUCUGCCUGGUAGUGGGGGAUAACGUCCGGAAACGGGCGCUAAUACCGCAUACGUCCUGAGGGAGAAAGUGGGGGAUCUUCGGACCUCACGCUAUCUGAUGAGCCUAGGUCGGAUUAGCUAGUUGGUGGGGUAAAGGCCUACCAAGGCGACGAUCCGUAACUGGUAUGAGAGGAUGAUCAGUCACACUGGAACUGAGACACGGUACAGAAUCCUACGGGAGGCAGCAGUGGGGAAUAUUGGAAAAUGGGAGAAAGCAUGAUACAGCCAUGCCGCGUGUGUGAAGAAGGUCUUCGGAUUGUAAAGCACUUUAAGUUGGGAGGAAGGGCAGUAAGUUAAUACCUUGCUGUUUUGACGUUACCAACAGAAUAAGCACCGGCUAACUUCGUG